AUUGAACGCUGGCGGCAGGCCUAACACAUGCAAGUCGAGCGGCAGCGGAAAGUAGCUUGCUACUUUGCCGGCGAGCGGCGGACGGGUGAGUAAUGUCUGGGAAACUGCCUGAUGGAGGGGGAUAACUACUGGAAACGGUAGCUAAUACCGCAUGACCUCGAAAGAGCAAAGUGGGGGAUCUUCGGACCUCACGCCAUCGGAUGUGCCCAGAUGGGAUUAGCUAGUAGGUGAGGUAAUGGCUCACCUAGGCGACGAUCCCUAGCUGGUCUGAGAGGAUGACCAGCCACACUGGAACUGAGACACGGUCCAGACUCCUACGGGAGGCAGCAGUGGGGAAUAUUGCACAAUGGGCGCAAGCCUGAUGCAGCCAUGCCGCGUGCGUGAAGAAGGCCUUAGGGUUGUAAAGCACUUUCAGCGAGGAGGAAGGCAUCAUACUUAAUACGUGUGGUGAUUGACGUUACUCGCAGAAGAAGCACCGGCUAACUCCGUGCCAGCAGCCGCGGUAAUACGGAGGGUGCAAGCGUUAAUCGGAAUUACUGGGCGUAAAGCGCACGCAGGCGGUUUGUUAAGUCAGAUGUGAAAUCCCCGCGCUUAACGUGGGAACUGCAUUUGAAACUGGCAAGCUAGAGUCUUGUAGAGGGGGGUAGAAUUCCAGGUAUAGCGGUGAAAUGCGUAGAGAUCUGGAGGAAUACCGGUGGCGAAGGCGGCCCCCUGGACAAAGACUGACGCUCAGGUGCGAAAGCGUGGGGAGCAAACAGG
rnacentral:rRNA from 1 species